ACGAACGCUGGCGGCGUGCCAAACACAUGCAAGUCGAGCGAUGAAGUUCCUUCGGGAACGGAUUAGCGGCGGACGGGUGAGUAACACGUGGGCAACCUGCCUUAUAGAGGGGAAUAGCCUUCCGAAAGGAAGAUUAAUACCGCAUAAGAUUGUAGCUUCGCAUGAAGCAGCAAUUAAAGGAGCAAUCCGCUAUAAGAUGGGCCCGCGGCGCAUUAGCUAGUUGGUGAGGUAACGGCUCACCAAGGCGACGAUGCGUAGCCGACCUGAGAGGGUGAUCGGCCACAUUGGGACUGAGACACGGCCCAGACUCCUACGGGAGGCAGCAGUGGGGAAUAUUGCACAAUGGGGGAAACCCUGAUGCAGCAACGCCGCGUGAGUGAUGACGGCCUUCGGGUUGUAAAGCUCUGUCUUUGGGGACGAUAAUGACGGUACCCAAGGAGGAAGCCACGGCUAACUACGUGCCAGCAGCCGCGGUAAUACGUAGGUGGCAAGCGUUGUCCGGAUUUACUGGGCGUAAAGGGAGCGUAGGCGGAUUUUUAAGUGGGAUGUGAAAUACCCGGGCUCAACCUGGGUGCUGCAUUCCAAACUGGAAAUCUAGAGUGCAGGAGGGGAAAGUGGAAUUCCUAGUGUAGCGGUGAAAUGCGUAGAGAUUAGGAAGAACACCAGUGGCGAAGGCGACUUUCUGGACUGUAACUGACGCUGAGGCUCGAAAAGCGUGGGGAGCAAACAGGAUUAGAUACCCUGGUAGUCCACGCCCGUAACGAUGAAUACUAGGUGUAGGGGUUGUCAUGACCUCUGUGCCGCCGCUAACGCAUUAAGUAUUCCGCCUGGGGAGUACGGUGGCAAGAUUAAAACUCAAAGGAAUUGACGGGGGGCCCGCACAAGUAGCGGAGCAUGUGGUUUAAUUCGAAGCAACGCGAAGAACCUUACCUAGACUUGACAUCUCCUGAAUUACCAUGUAAUGUGGGAAGUCCCUUCGGGGACAGGAAGACAGGUGGUGCAUGGUAGUCGUCAGCUCGUGUCGUGAGAUGUUGGGUUAAGUCCCGCAACGAGCGCAACCCUUACUGUUAGUUGCUACCAUUUAGUUGAGCACUCUAGCGAGACUGCCCGGGUUAACCGGGAGGAAGGUGGGGAUGACGUCAAAUCAUCAUGCCCCUUAUGUCUAGGGCUACACACGUGCUACAAUGGCCGGUACAACGAGAUGCAAUACCGUGAGGUGGAGCAAAACUAUAAAACCGGUCUCAGUUCGGAUUGUAGGCUGAAACUCGCCUACAUGAAGCUGGAGUUACUAGUAAUCGCGAAUCAGAAUGUCGCGGUGAAUACGUUCCCGGCCCUUGUACACACCGCCCGUCACACCAUGAGAGUUGGCAAUACCCAAAGUUGGUGAUGUAACCCGUAAGGGAGGAAGCCACCUAAGGUAGG
rnacentral:rRNA from 1 species